rnacentral:tRNA from 2 species
CGGGCUGUGGCGCAGCUUGGUUAGCGCGCUUGACUGGGGGUCAAGAGGUCGGGGGUUCGAGUCCCCCCAGCCCGAC